ACGACUGUGGCGUCGAUCUAUAUAAGAGUAAAUACAGGCAUAAUUGUUACUCUUGUACGUGAGCUGUCUUCGAGCAAGCAUUCAGAGCCCUUCGAUUGUGGUGAUAUUGUUUUCUAUACCAACGUUUUUGUCUGACUUUGAAAAAAUUGUUACGACAAUUGCAUGGUAAAGAACAGGGCGCGAAGCUUUCUUCAUAAGUGAAGGUCAUUUCGAAAAGUGCAAGCAAGAUGACAGAGAGCUUUGGGGGGAUUGCCUUCUCGAACUUCGGCUCCAUGAAAAGGUACAACGUUGUGCAGCUUGUCGGUCAGCAGCGUCGUUUUAAAUAAACAUGAAAUGAACUUUCAUAGUCCGAGGGUUCCGAUCUUCUGUGAAAGUACAUGCUUCACUCUUCUGCCUUGUGUAGAAAUGGAAAGCACCUCAGACGUAUUUGUGAACUUGAAGCCUUCGGUCGUAACAGUCCCAUUCUAACUAAUGUUCACCAUGCACAUCUAUGCCACUUGCGGCGAGUUACUCUGCACAAGAGGAGGUCCCUCAAGUCUCAUGGAAAGUUGGUUUUCGGGAACGAUACUCUCUGAAUCAGCGUAAAAAGUUCC
rnacentral:lncRNA from 1 species